rnacentral:rRNA from 1 species
CUCAGUCCCAGUGUGGCUGACCAUCCUCUCAGACCAGCUACCCGUAAGCCUUGGGAGGCCGUUACCCUACCAACAAGCUGAUGGUACGCGGGCCCCUCCCCAAGCGGCAGGUUCCGAAGAAUCCCCACCUUUAAUCUUCCCCGGAUGCCCGGAGGGACCACAUUCGGUAUUAGCCCCCGUUUCCAGGGGUUGUCCCCAACUCAGGGGUAGGUUACCCACGCGUUACUCACCCUUCCGCCA